rnacentral:rRNA from 1 species
UACGUAGGGUGCGAGCGUUGUCCGGAAUUAUUGGGCGUAAAGGGCUCGUAGGCGGUUUGUCACGUCAGGAGUGAAAACUCGGGGCUCAACCCCGAGCCUGCUUCUGAUACGGGCAGACUGGAGGUAUGCAGGGGAGAACGGAAUUCCUGGUGUAGCGGUGAAAUGCGCAGAUAUCAGGAGGAACACCGGUGGCGAAGGCGGGUCUCUGGGCAGUAACUGACGCUGAGGAGCGAAAGCGUGGGGAGCAAACAGG